GACAGAGGAUGCAAGCGUUAUCCGGAAUGAUUGGGCGUAAAGCGUCUGUAGGUGGCUUUUAAGUCCGCCGUCAAAUCCCAGGCUCAACCUGGACAGGCGGUGGAAACUACCAAGCUGGAGUACGGUAGGGCAGAGGAAUUCCGGUGGAGCGGUGAAUUCGUAGAUAUUCGGAAGAACACCAGUGGCGAAGCGGCUGACUGGACAUGUAUUGACGCUGAGGUGCGAAGCGUGGAGCAACAGG
rnacentral:rRNA from 1 species